rnacentral:rRNA from 1 species
UACGGGGGGGGUAAGCGUUGUUCGGAAUUACUGGGCGUAAGGGGCUCGUAGGCGGCCAACUAAGUCAUACGUGAAAUCCCUCAGCUUAACUGGGGAACUGCGUGUGAUACUGGAUGGCUUGGAUUUGGGAGAGGGAUGCGGAAUUCCCGGUGUAGUGGUGAAAUGCGUAGAUAUCGGGAGGAACACCAGUGGCGAAGGCGGCCUGCUGGGCUGGUCUUGACGCUGAGGCGCGAAGGCGUGGGGAGCGAACGGG